ACUGCUCAGUAACACGUGGACAACCUGCCCUUAGGUUGGGUAUAAACCCGGGAAACUGGGUAUAAUACCCGAUAGGUCUCGAUUGCUGGAAUGCAUCGAGAUUUAAAGCUCCGGCGCCUAAGGAUGGGUCUGCGGCCUAUCAGGUAGUAGUGGGCGUAGCGUACCUACUAGCCUACGACGGGUACGGGUUGUGAGAGCAAGAGCCCGGAGAUGGAUUCUGAGACACGAAUCCAGGCCCUACGGGGUGCAGCAGGCGCGAAAACUUUACAAUGCUGGCAACAGCGAUAAGGGAACCUCGAGUGCCAGGUUACAAAUCUGGCUGUCGAGAUGCCUAAAAAGCAUUUCAUAGCAAGGGCCGGGCAAGACCGGUGCCAGCCGCCGCGGUAACACCGGCGGCUCGAGUGGUAACCGUUAUUAUUGGGUCUAAAGGGUCUGUAGCCGGCCGGAUAAGUCUCUUGAGAAAUCUGGCAGCUUAACUGUCAGGCUUUCAGGAGAUACUGUCUGGCUCGAGGCCGGGAGAGGUGAGAGGUACUUCAGGGGUAGGGGUGAAAUCUUGUAAUCCUUGAAGGACCACCAGUGGCGAAGGCGUCUCACCAGAACGGACCUGACGGCAAGGGACGAAAGCUAGGGGCACGAACCGGAUUAGAUACCCGGGUAGUCCUAGCCGUAAACGAUACUCGCUAGGUGUCGGCCACGGUGCGACCGUUGUCGGUGCCGUAGGGAAGCCGUGAAGCGAGCCACCUGGGAAGUACGGCCGCAAGGCUGAAACUUAAAGGAAUUGGCGGGGGAGCAC
rnacentral:rRNA from 1 species